rnacentral:misc_RNA from 1 species
AACCUAGCACACCUGCGGUGUGUACCUGCGGAGGGAUCAUUACAUGAUUUAACAGGGAGUGGAGGCUUCGGCCAAAGCUCUGUCUGAACCCAUGUCUUUUGCGUACUUCUUGUUUCCUCGGUGGGCUUGCCCGCCGAUAGGACAACCUUAAACUCUUUGCAAUUGCAAUCAGCGUCUGAAAAACUAUAAUAGUUACAACUUUCAACAAUGGAUCU